UUAACAUGUUCACCAAAACGCAAAUACCAUCCCUAGCUCUCUCUCAUCUCCUUCUUGAUCUAUAUAUAUCUCCCCCUCUCCUCAUCCCCUCUCUUCACAUCUCUCACUCUCUCUGUAGUUUGUUCCGAUCGACGCAGUGAGCGGUGCACCACAAGCGGCUGAAGCUGCCAGCAUGAUCUGAUCUCUUAAAUUUCGGCCUCUUUAAUUCGGUUUAGCAUCGAAAGAGGGAAAAAAAGAAGAAGAAAGAAUCACUUCUUCUCUUUUGUGCAUGUUGUCUUUGUGUAAGUCUUAGAUGGGAUCUGAGUCAGAUCAUGCGGCAGUUUCAUCUGCUGAUGGGAGCACUAGAAAUUCUCAAUCCCUUCUUCAUCAGGUUGUUAUAAUUUCUUACUUAUAACAUGCAUGUUAGCUAGGGUUUCAAGAGAAAACGGCGUCGAUCGAAUUAGUUCUUGGGGGAGGCCAAAGGGUUUGUGGUUCUCAUGAACUUAUUUUUGCUUCUACUUUGUUUGUGAUCUUUAUUCUUUUUUCGCUUAUGGCGUUAUACAUAACUUAUGCUUAAUUAUCUUUGUCUCACAAUGUUAAGAUUGAUUCAGAGAUGAUCAAAGAUGUAUAAGAGAAAUAUUCGGCGAGGCCUAUAAUUAGGGGUUUUGAGUCUGAGCUAGGUUUUGGCUCCUUGAGAAAUUGGCCUGUGGAAAUUAUCAAACCAUACAUCGAUCGAGUUCUAUGCAGAACAUGGGGAAGACUAGCUACCUACCACUAUGAUUAAGCACGCAAGGAUGUACAGCUGAGAGGAUCUUGGCUUUGACUUUGUUAAGUGACCUCGUGAGCAUGGUACGAUGACAGCUUUGGAGUGAAAAAAUUUAAAAUAUGAUAGUCACAUGGAGUGAUAUGUAGCGUCUCUAAUCAAUCAAAUUAUUAUUUUAAAAUUUACUUAUUUCAUCAUAAUUUUUUAAAAAAAUAAUUUUAUUAUAUUUUUUUUUUUAAAGAUGAAAUGUUAUUGAUUGGACAUAUAUGAUAUGGUGUAGCUGCUUUACUAUACGUAGACUUCUUUCUUUAGAGCGGCUAAUAUUUUUUGGAUUAUAGACUUAGUAUUUUAUUAUUCUAUAUUUUUUUCUAUUGAAGAGCUUGUGAAGUUUGGUAAGUGAAAAUAAAUAAAAUAAAACAAUAAGACUAAUUGUAGUCAAUUUUUUUUUUC